GGGCAACUCAGCAACUCUUCCUCUGCACAGGUUUUGAUAAAUCUCCCCCUAAGACCAAGAGGAACCAGAUAAACUACAAAGCCAAACUCCAGCUCCCUGACUACGACUCCACCGACAUUUAAUGAGGGAGGAGGCGUGUUCCUCUCUUGCCCUCACUGUGAUGACUCCUCUCCCUCCCUCACUCUGCUGACUCACUGCUUUCGGGAGCCUGGCAGCCCUGCUCUAUACCCCUUUCUGCACCAAAGACAAUAUGGCCCUGACCUGAAGAUUCCUAAAUUCAGCAAUUACAGCACCAAUUAAAUUAUUUCAAAGCUGU